AAAAAUAAAGCGAUAUUAAUUGCAUUCAGUUUCGACCUGAACUUAGAAUUUAUUCUAUUUUUC
rnacentral:tRNA from 1 species